UGCAGUCGAGCGGGAUCCAUCCAGUAGCAAUACUGGGGAAGAUCUAGCGGCGAACGGGUGAGUAACACGUGAGAAACCUGCCCCGAAGUCUGGGAUAACCCGAGGAAACUCGAGCUAAUACCGGAUGCCCUCCUCUGGUCGCAUGGCCGGUUGAGGAAAGAUUCAUCGCUUCGGGAGGGUCUCGCGGCCUAUCAGCUAGUUGGUGGGGUAACGGCCCACCAAGGCGUCGACGGGUAGCUGGUCUGAGAGGACGAUCAGCCACACUGGGACUGAGACACGGCCCAGACUCCUACGGGAGGCAGCAGUGGGGAAUCUUGCGCAAUGGGCGAAAGCCUGACGCAGCAACGCCGCGUGCGGGAUGAAGGCCUUCGGGUUGUAAACCGCUUUCAGGAGGGACGAAAUUGACGGUACCUCCAGAAGAAGCCCCGGCCAACUACGUGCCAGCAGCCGCGGUAACACGUAGGGGGCAAGCGUUGUCCGGAUUUAUUGGGCGUAAAGAGCUCGUAGGCGGCUUAGUAAGUCGGGUGUGAAACCUCCAGGCUCAACCUGGAGACGCCACCCGAUACUGCUGUGGCUAGAGUCCGGUAGGGGAGCGUGGAAUUCCUGGUGUAGCGGUGAAAUGCGCAGAUAUCAGGAGGAACACCAGCGGCGAAGGCGGCGCUCUGGGCCGGUACUGACGCUGAGGAGCGA
rnacentral:rRNA from 1 species